UACGUAGGGGGCUAGCGUUGUCCGGAUUUAUUGGGCGUAAAGAGCGUGUAGGCGGCCAUGUAGGUCCGGUGUGAAAACUCGAGGCUUAACCUCGAGAUGUCAUCGGAAACCAUUUGGCUAGAGUCCGGAAGAGGAGAGUGGAAUUCCUGGUGUAGCGGUGAAAUGCGCAGAUAUCGGGAAGAACACCUAUGGCGAAGGCAGCUCUCUGGGACGGUACUGACGCUGAGACGCGAAAGCGUGGGGAGCGAACAGG
rnacentral:rRNA from 1 species